rnacentral:rRNA from 1 species
GGGGGAUAUUGCACAAUGGGGGAAACCCUGAUGCAGCGACGCCGCGUGAGGGAAGACGGUCCUCUGGAUUGUAAACCUCUGUCUUCGGGGACGAAACGAGACGGUACCCGAGGAGGAAGCCACGGCUAACUACGUGCCAGCAGCCGCGGUAAUACGUAGGUGGCAAGCGUUGUCCGGAAUUACUGGGUGUAAAGGGAGCGUAGGCGGGCAGGCAAGUCAGGCGUGAAAUAUAUCGGCUCAACCGGUAACGGCGCUUGAAACUGCAGGUCUUGAGUGAAGUAGAGGUUGGCGGAAUUCCUAGUGUAGCGGUGAAAUGCGUAGAUAUUAGGAGGAACACCAGUGGCGAAGGCGGCCAACUGGGCUUUUACUGACGCUGAGGCUCGAAAGUGUGGGGAGCAAACAGGAUUAGAUACCCUGGUAGUCCACACCGUAAACGAUGAUUACUAGGUGUGGGGGGGACUGACCCCUUCCGUGCCGGAGUUAACACAAUAAGUAAUCCACCUGGGGAGUACGGCCGCAAGGUUGAAACUCAAAGGAAUUGACGGGGGCCCGCACAAGCAGUGGAGUAUGUGGUUUAAUUCGACGCAACGCGAAGAACCUUACCAGGUCUUGACAUCGUAUGCAUAGUGUAGAGAUACACGAAGUCCUUCGGGACAUACAGACAGGUGGUGCAUGGUUGUCGUCAGCUCGUGUCGUGAGAUGUUGGGUUAAGUCCCGCAACGAGCGCAACCCUUGUAUUUAGUUGCUACGCAAGAGCACUCUAGAUAGACUGCCGUGGACAACACGGAGGAAGGUGGGGAUGACGUCAAAUCAUCAUGCCCCUUAUGACCUGGGCUACACACGUACUACAAUGGCAAUGGAACAGAGGGAAGCGACUCAGCGAUGAGAAGCAGAUCCCGAAAAAUUGUCUCAGUUCGGAUUGCAGGCUGCAACUCGACUACAUGAAGCUGGAAUCGCUAGUAAUCGCAGAUCAGAAUGCUGCGGUGAAUACGUUCCCG